rnacentral:rRNA from 1 species
AACGAACGCUGGCGGCAUGCCUAACACAUGCAAGUCGAACGAACCCUUCGGGGUUAGUGGCGCACGGGUGCGUAACGCGUGGGAAUCUGCCCUUUGCUUCGGAAUAACAGUUAGAAAUGACUGCUAAUACCGGAUGAUGUCUUCGGACCAAAGAUUUAUCGGCAAGGGAUGAGCCCGCGUAGGAUUAGGUAGUUGGUGGGGUAAAGGCCUACCAAGCCGACGAUCCUUAGCUGGUCUGAGAGGAUGAUCAGCCACACUGGGACUGAGACACGGCCCAGACUCCUACGGGAGGCAGCAGUGGGGAAUAUUGGACAAUGGGCGCAAGCCUGAUCCAGCAAUGCCGCGUGAGUGAUGAAGGCCUUCGGGUCGUAAAGCUCUUUUACCAGGGAUGAUAAUGACAGUACCUGGAGAAUAAGCUCCGGCUAACUCCGUGCCAGCCGCCGCAGUAAGAC